GGGCUUGUGGUUUAGUGGUAUAAUACUCCCUUAGCAUUAGAAGGCCUUGCAUAUUUUCAGCUUUACAUGAAGAACUUGUCUUGUUGUCGUCAGCUUGGGAGUGGUCCGGGGUUCGAUUCCCCGCGAGUCCA